CACAGCCCCACUGGAGCAUUCUGAGGGGAAUGGGCUCAUGGCCCCGGAGCUGUGAGUGGGAAGUGGCCGUGGGGGUCCCACAGGGCCUGUUGGUACCCACAGGCUCCCUGAGGCCUUAAUGUAACCCCAGCACAAAGGAAGGAAUUGGCCACAAAGAGCAGCAGGUAGAAUAUUUCUUGUACAUGCAACAAAUGCACUACAUAUGUUUGAGAAUAUAUCUAUGAUGAGUGACAGAUUCAAAAUCCACUUCUCAUUCAAAAGAAGACCAGCACCACUGAUCUGGUUAAAUGCAAGAGUAGAAAAUUUUAAGGACAAGAGGUGAAGGAUUACUCAGGAGGGUGCCAGUAUCCCAUUUGAGUGUAUGAUUUGAUGAAGAACAGAGUAAAGCAGAAGAUG
rnacentral:lncRNA from 1 species